rnacentral:pre_miRNA from 1 species
AACAGCUAGCUAGAAGGUUGAGAUCACCUACCUAGAAGGUUGAGAACAGCUAGCUAGAAGGUUUUUCUAGCUAGGUGAUCUCAACCUUCUAGCUAGCUGUU